rnacentral:rRNA from 1 species
AUUGAACGCUGGCGGCAGGCUUAACACAUGCAAGUCGAGCGGAGCGAGGGUGCUUGCACCUUAGCUUAGCGGCGGACGGGUGAGUAAUGCUUAGGAAUCUGCCUAUUAGUGGGGGACAACAUUCCGAAAGGAAUGCUAAUACCGCAUACGUCCUACGGGGGAAAGCAGGGGAUCUUCGGACCUUGCGCUAAUAGAUGAGCCUAAGUCGGAUUAGCUAGUUGGUGGGGUAAAGGCCUACCAAGGCGACGAUCUGUAGCGGGUCUGAGAGGAUGAUCCGCCAGACUGGGACUGGGGCACGGCCCAGACUCCUACGGGAGGCAGCAGUGGGGAAUAUUGGACAAUGGGCGGAAGCCUGAUCCAGCCAUGCCGCGUGUGUGAAGAAGGCCUUUUGGUUGUAAAGCACUUUAAGCGAGGAGGAGGCUACUAGUAUUAAUACUACUGGAUAGUGGACGUUACUCGCAGAAUAAGCACCGGCUAACUCUGUGCCAGCCGCCGCCGUAA